UACGUAGGGGGCAAGCGUUGUCCGGAUUUAUUGGGCGUAAAGAGCGUGUAGGCGGCCUUGCAAGUCCGUUGUGAAAACUCGAGGCUCAACCUCGAGACGCCGGUGGAAACUGCAAAGCUAGAGUCCGGAAGAGGAGAGUGGAAUUCCUGGUGUAGCGGUGAAAUGCGCAGAUAUCAGGAGGAACACCCGUGGCGAAGGCGGGUCUCUGGGCCGUAACUGACGCUGAGGAGCGAAAGCAUGGGGAGCGAACAGG
rnacentral:rRNA from 1 species